AUUGAACGCUGGCGGCAGGCCUAACACAUGCAAGUCGAACGGUAGCACAGGGGAGCUUGCUCCCCGGGUGACGAGUGGCGGACGGGUGAGUAAUGUCUGGGGAUCUGCCCGAUGGAGGGGGAUAACUACUGGAAACGGUAGCUAAUACCGCAUAACCUCGAAAGAGCAAAGUGGGGGACCUUCGGGCCCCACACCAUCGGAUGAACCCAGAUGGGAUUAGCUAGUAGGUGGGGUAACGGCUCACCUAGGCGACGAUCCCUAGCUGGUCUGAGAGGAUGACCAGCCACACUGGAACUGAGACACGGUCCAGACUCCUACGGGAGGCAGCAGUGGGGAAUAUUGCACAAUGGGCGCAAGCCUGAUGCAGCCAUGCCGCGUGUAUGAAGAAGGCCUUCGGGUUGUAAAGUACUUUCAGCGGGGAGGAAGGGAUGAGGGUUAAUAACCUUCGUCAUUGACGUUACCCGCAGAAGAAGCACCGGCUAACUCCGUGCCAGCAGCCGCGGUAAUACGGAGGGUGCAAGCGUUAAUCGGAAUUACUGGGCGUAAAGCGCACGCAGGCGGUUUGUUAAGUCAGAUGUGAAAUCCCCGGGCUCAACCUGGGAACUGCAUUUGAAACUGGCAAGCUUGAGUCUCGUAGAGGGGGGUAGAAUUCCAGGUGUAGCGGUGAAAUGCGUAGAGAUCUGGAGGAAUACCGGUGGCGAAGGCGGCCCCCUGGACGAAGACUGACGCUCAGGUGCGAAAGCGUGGGGAGCAAACAGGAUUAGAUACCCUGGUAGUCCACGCCGUAAACGAUGUCGACUUGGAGGUUGUGCCCUUGAGGCGUGGCUUCCGGAGCUAACGCGUUAAGUCGACCGCCUGGGGAGUACGGCCGCAAGGUUAAAACUCAAAUGAAUUGACGGGGGCCCGCACAAGCGGUGGAGCAUGUGGUUUAAUUCGAUGCAACGCGAAGAACCUUACCUGGCCUUGACAUCCACGGAAUUCGGCAGAGACGCCUUAGUGCCUUCGGGAACCGUGAGACAGGUGCUGCAUGGCUGUCGUCAGCUCGUGUUGUGAAAUGUUGGGUUAAGUCCCGCAACGAGCGCAACCCUUAUCCUUUGUUGCCAGCGCGU
rnacentral:rRNA from 1 species